UAAAUACUCCCUCCGUCCGAAAAUACUUGUCGGAGAAAUGGAUGAAAAUGGGUGUAUCUAAAACUAAAUUACGUCUAGAUACAUCCAUUCCUCCGACAAGUAUUUUCGGACGGAGGGAGUAUAAG
rnacentral:pre_miRNA from 1 species